CACGUAGGCGGCCUGGUAAGUCAGAUGUGAAAGCCCGGGGCUUAACCCCGGAAGUGCAUUUGAUACUGUCAGGCUUGAGUAUGGGAGAGGGAAGUGGAAUUCCUGGUGUAGAGGUGAAAUUCGUAGAUAUCAGGAGGAACACCGGUGGCGAAGGCGACUUCCUGGACCAAUACUGACGCUGAGGUGCGAAGGCGUGGGUAGCAAACG
rnacentral:rRNA from 1 species